UACGUAGGGUGCGGGCGUUAAUCGGAAUUACUGGGCGUAAAGGGUGCGCAGGCGGCUUCGCAAGUCAGGCGUGAAAUCCCCGGGCUUAACCUGGGAAUGGCGCUUGAAACUACGGAGCUGGAGUAUGGCAGAGGGAGGUGGAAUUCCACGUGUAGCGGUGAAAUGCGUAGAGAUGUGGAGGGACACCGAUGGCGAAGGCAGCCUCCUGGGCCAAUACUGACGCUCAUGCACGAAAGCGUGGGGAGCAAACAGG
rnacentral:rRNA from 1 species